AGAGUUUGAUCCUGGCUCAGAUUGAACGCUGGCGGCAGGCCUAACACAUGCAAGUCGAACGGUAGCACAGAGAGCUUGCUCUCGGGUGACGAGUGGCGGACGGGUGAGUAAUGUCUGGGAAACUGCCUGAUGGAGGGGGAUAACUACUGGAAACGGUAGCUAAUACCGCAUAACGUCGCAAGACCAAAGAGGGGGACCUUCGGGCCUCUUGCCAUCAGAUGUGCCCAGAUGGGAUUAGCUAGUAGGUGGGGUAACGGCUCACCUAGGCGACGAUCCCUAGCUGGUCUGAGAGGAUGACCAGCCACACUGGAACUGAGACACGGUCCAGACUCCUACGGGAGGCAGCAGUGGGGAAUAUUGCACAAUGGGCGCAAGCCUGAUGCAGCCAUGCCGCGUGUAUGAAGAAGGCCUUCGGGUUGUAAAGUACUUUCAGCGGGGAGGAAGGUGUUGUGGUUAAUAACCGCAGCAAUUGACGUUACCCGCAGAAGAAGCACCGGCUAACUCCGUGCCAGCAGGCGCGGU
rnacentral:rRNA from 1 species